UAACCGCAUCAGGUCUCCAAG
rnacentral:snRNA from 1 species